GUCCCUGAUCCUCUUUAGGUCCCAGUUUUCCCACCUGGGAAAGGAAGGGCGGAUCCUUUGCUUGGGAAGGUCUCCAAUUGCGUUACUAUCCAGUGAGUCUCCCAUUAAGUCUUUUCAGCUGCACUUUCUGAGAAAGGCUGAAGUAAAGCAGUUUUUCCCCCUUCAGGUGGAAAAGAGAGCCGGGGCCAACCCGUCUGGGUGCGGACCUGUCAUUAGGAAGCCAGCUGCCAGCUUGUGUUCCCUUGGGAUGGAGGAGGAGCCCCGCGGUCCCUGCCAGGAGAGGGUCCCUUUAACAAAAAGCUGGUGCCGCCAUCUGCUUUCGCCCUCUGGGUAAUUCAGCUCCUGGGUGCCCUGAUGUGGAGAGUGGCGAGGGAGGCGUUGGGGAGGGGGGGCGGGUAGGUCAGUGGGCAGGCCUCGAUUCAAGGUUCUUAUUGGACUUUAGAGCCUUUACUCGCCGAGUUAAUUUCCCCAACUUGCCUAUCACAGGUUAAUACUGGACCCGUGCAUAAUGAUACAUAAUUUAAGACUUGUAAAAGCUGCCCAGGACUUGAAAGGAACACAGUCUAAGCCAGGAGCCUGUGCCUGGCAUGCAAGAGCAAGUAACACAGCAGAGGCAAGAAAGCAAGCCUCCAUGGAAGCGGAAGUGCUGGAACCUCGCUCAGCCCGAGUUGCAAACCUCUGCAGGCCAGUGGAAGUUUUGUAUUUUUUUCUUUAAAAGCAACUGGUUGUUCACCACACACUCGCUCACUUUAGGGUCGACAGGUGUAUGCUGUUCGGAAAUGUGGCAAACCCGCAGGCUGAUUCCUUGGGCUCUUUGCUACCUAAGAAAGAUUACCAAAUAAGUUAACUUUGACUCACUGACCCCUCAGAUCAGCCAAUAAAAUGAAGCGCUUACACCACAACUUGCUCAAGGGGUAGUGUAAUUGAUUUACUUAAAAAUGAUGUCAGGUGGCAAUUGAGCAACAAACUGGCUUCCAGACUGCUUAAUUCAGUUUAACAAGGAGGAAAAACCUUGUAAUUAACGGAAGAGCUUGAAUACUUUGGAAGCUGUUUUCAAAGUCUGCCAUACCUAAGCUGG
rnacentral:lncRNA from 1 species